rnacentral:rRNA from 1 species
GAUGAACGCUGGCGGCGUGCCUAAUACAUGCAAGUCGAGCGAACAGAUGAGGAGCUUGCUCCUCUGACGUUAUCGGCGGACGGGUGAGUAACACGUGGAUAACCUACCUAUAAGACUGGGAUAACUUCGGGAAACCGGAGCUAAUACCGGAUAAUAUAUUGAACCGCAUGGUUCAAUAGUGAAAGACGGUUUUGCUGUCGCUUAUAGAUGGAUCCGCGCCGCAUUAGCUAGUUGGUAAGGUAACGGCUUACCAAGGCAACGAUGCGUAGCCGACCCGAGAGCGUGAUCGGCCACACUGGAACUGAGACACGGCCCAGACUCCUACGCGAGGCCGCAGUAGGGACUCUUCCGCAAUGGGGGAAAGCCUGAUGGAGCAAAGCCGCGUGAGUGAUGAAGGUCUUCGGAUCGUAAAACUCUGUUAUUCGGGAAGAACAAAUGUGUAAGUAACUAUGAACGUCUUGACGGUACCUAAUCAGAAAGCUACGGCUAACUCCGUG